UGUCCAGCAACUCCUACCUCUACCUCCUCGUGGUAUUGGCCGGGGUACGAGUAACCUCAUGGAAGAUCGGGUAACCAACCCCGGUGUGAACUUUGGACGUAUGCUGACAGGGAAGG
rnacentral:ribozyme from 1 species